UCAGCCAUAGCUAAGGAUAUUGUGGUGGU
rnacentral:sRNA from 1 species